rnacentral:piRNA from 2 species
GUGGUUAAGGCGUUGGACUCGAAAUC